ensembl:lncRNA
CACCUGAGAAAGUACCAAGGACUAAGUCGUUUAGACCUUGCUCUGUUAAUUUAAUGCUUCCUUGAAUGUACACAUAUGUAAACACCCAGUGCAGAGCUUUUAGUUUUGGGUCAGAAGUGUUUGUUCAGCACCUAGGAACAAAGACCCACCCUAUCUUAGAAAACGAAAGUUAGAAUAGACCUGAAACCAGAAUAGAGAAACAAAUCACAAACACAUAGUGCCAGCUCUAGCCUUUUGGGGGCCCUAAGCAGAAUUUAAUUUGGGUCCCCCUCUCCCCUAUCAGUUGGUGGCUACCUAGCGGUCUGGGGCCCUAAGCGACUGCUUAUGCCUGAAGCCGGCCCUGCACGCCCAGAGUGCCAGGAAGAGGAGGGCUUUAAGGGGAGCGGAGUCUCAGGGUUUAUAAGGAACGCGGAACAAUUCAACGGUCUUUUCUAUCCUGCGGAUGCGUCUGCUGAAGGAUUCAAGGGGCUGGUGAACCUUUCACAGGUCCUCUUUGGCCUGCUUAUGAAUUAUGUAAUUAUCUUUGUAUCUCAAUAUAUUACAAGAAUAGUAUAAUAUAAUUUAGAAAUAAGCAGAAUAGAUUGUAUCCUACAUUUAAAUGGAAUUCUGUCACGGUACAAAUAAGUAAACAAACCUCUUUCUUUUUAUUGCUGUAAAUCAAGCAUGUUUUUUAGCCUUAUUGUAACGUUUUAAUAAUGAAUCAUUAAGUGUGAGUUGUGACAAUUCUUAAAGAUGCAUGUCAAGACUACUCUUGCUGUAGUCUUCCUGUAAUAUGAGCUUAUUGUUGCUGUCGAUUAAGUUUCUGAAGUGUUGUAUUAAACACUCUUCCCACAGUGAAUGGAGGAGAAAUAGAAAUCCUGGGCUGGACUAAGGGCGGGUCAUGCCGCCCCCUGGAUGGUGUCAUCAUGAGGACACGACAGAUUGGACUUGGCCUUCACUAGGGAGUAACACUGUUGGUGCUUGCCUAUGGGGGUGCUAGGCGGAUGUGUCCUGUUUCCAUGCUGAGUCAGCAGGGGGCGACGUGUGCAGAACCAGGGCUGCAGAAAUGCAGUGUCCUCGAAAUCACUAACUGAACUACAGACUACCGAAGCAAACCACAAAAAGCCAAACUAUUUUCCACUUCCCCUUUCCCCUUGGCUUCUGGUGGUCUGCAUGCUUGGUUUGGUGGGCUCGAGGGAGUGGCCUGCUGACAUUAUAAUUCAAUAAUUCAAUAAACAAGGCAUCAAACUGUAACAAUAAAAACUGUAAAAACAUGGAAUUUUGUCAGUUGUGUUUGUGUUAUUAUGGUUUACGGGCCAACCAGGGAUUAGACUGAUUAUUUUCUUUUUAAUUGGGCAAACAAACUACAUGCCAUGAGCAACUUCGUCAAAAAGAAUGACAUAAAUUGGCUGUUAUAAGCAGCACUCAUAGCAAGCAAGCAAGUUUAUUUAUAUAGCACAAUUCAUACAUUGACGCAAUUCAAUGUGCUUUAAAAAGAAAAAUAUAUGAAAGUACAAUAACAUGAAAACAAAUACUCAAAGAAAAACAUCAAUACAAAUGAAUACAUCAUGAUAAUAAUAAAUACAAUAAGAAAACAUAUAAGAUUUAAAAACGGGGUAAAAACAUAAGAAGCUAUAAGGCUAAACAGUGUGGUUAAGUUUAAGUGCUCAGUCAUAGGCAAGUGAGAAGAAGUGUUUUUAACCUGGAUUUAAAAAUUGAUACGUUUGGGGCACGUCUAAGAUCUUCUGGUAGUUAUUUCCAGUUUUGUACAGCAUACGUGCUAAACGCAGUUUAUAAGCAGUUUCAGUUAAACCCUCAUGUCUUCCUGUGGAAUUCACCCUCAGGGUUUUAUUAGCAACACAUGAUCAUGGGAGACACUCAGUCAAGUGGAUAGAGAUCAGUUUGAGAUUCACAAAUUGUU